UCCCCGUCCGUUUUGCAACAAAUGACUAGUUGCAGUCUUUCUUUCUGAAACAAUGGUGGAGUUGUAAAAAUAUGAAGUAGGUGGAAGUUGACUCCCGAUCAUUGGAUGGGGAACCAAUCCGAUGAGCAAGGAGGCGGUGGACGUUUGCCUAAAAUUGCGAUGGAAGGCGACGGCGGCACGGCGGCGGCCUGGAUGGCGACGCACCGCGGGAUGUACGAGCGGGCCACGCGGCACCCCUUCACCGUCUCGAUCCGCGACGGUUCCGUCGACCUGGCCGCCUUCAAACGCUGGCUCGGUCAGGACUACAUGUUCGUGCGGGAAUUUGUUGCAUUUCUAGCUAGUGUACUGCUCAAGUGUUGCAAAGAGUCAGACAGCUCGGACAUGGAAACAAUCCUAGGUGGCUUGGCUUCUCUUAGUGAUGAGCUCUCUUGGUUCAAGAAGGAAGCUGCUAAAUGGAGUGUUGAUCUGGCCGGUAUUUCUCCCCUCAGUUCUACUCCCUCCGUUCCAAAAUAGAUGACCCAACUUUGUACUAAAUUUAAUACAAAGUUGGGUCAUCUAUUUUGGAACGGAGGGAGUAAUAUGGAGUACUGCAGGUUUCUCCAAAGCCUUGAUGAUCCAGAGAUCAGCUACAGUGUAGCCAUAACUACAUUUUGGAUAAUCGAAACCGUGUACCAGGAUAGUUUUGCUUUCUGCAUAGAAGAAGGUAACAAGACGCCGGCGGAGCUCCUGGGACCUGUCAGAGAUGGGGCAGCCCUGAGUUCAAGCAGUACUGCCAGUCUCUGCAGCGGAUCGCUGAUCGCUGCUUGGCGAAUGCGCCACAUGAUGUUGUUGUUGUCAAGAGAGCUGAAGAGGCCUUUCUUGGUGUGCUCGAGCUGGAGAUUGGAUUCUGGGACAUGAGUUCUUCUCAGUCCUAAGCGGCGACUACAUCGUGCCAACUGCCAACACCGAGCAUUACUUGGACGAAAUAGAUACCGCAGUGGGUUCAGCAUUUUUACUGUCAUUUCCCCUGUAUCUUGUUUUCUCUGUUGAACACCGUGCAAUAACCUGGAUGAAAUAAUUGUUGUGUUGGUU